AACGCAUAUUGCGCCCUUUGGUAUUCCGAAGGGCAUGCCUGUUCGAGCGUCAUUAUCACCCCUCAAGCCUCCGGGCUUGGUGUUGGACGGCUUGGUCUCGGGUAACGAGACCCCUCCUAAAAUCAACGACGGCGGCCUGUUCGACCCCCGGUACACGGAGCUUCUUAACUGAGCACGUAUCGGCCUAGGCAGGACCCGGUCUUCUUCCUUAACCGGAAAACUUCUUUUCAAGGUUGACCUCGGAUCAGGUAGGGAUACCCGCUGAACUUAA
rnacentral:misc_RNA from 1 species